rnacentral:rRNA from 1 species
CAGCAGCCGCGGUAAAACGAAGGGUGCAAGCGCUAACCGGAAUUACUGGGCGUAAAGCGUGCGUAGGCGGUUUGUUAAGUCUGCUGUGAAAUCCCCGGGCUCAACCUGGGAAUGGCAGUGGAUACUGGCAAGCUAGAGUGUGUCAGAGGAUGGUGGAAUUCCCGGUGUAGCGGUGAAAUGCGUAGAGAUCGGGAGGAACAUCAGUGGCGAAGGCGGCCAUCUGGGACAACACUGACGCUGAGGCACGAAAGCGUGGGGAGCAAACAGGAUUAGAUACCCCCGUAGUCCCUGUCUCUUAUAC